rnacentral:tRNA from 1 species
AUAGCUCAGCUGGUAGAGCGCAACCUUGCCAAGGUUGAGGUCGCGAGUUCGAGUCUCGUU